rnacentral:rRNA from 1 species
UCAGACGAUGCGUCAUGCAUAUCAAUAAGCGGAGGAAAAGAAACUAACAAGGAUUCCCCUAGUAACGGCGAGUGAAGCGGGAAGAGCUCAAAUUUGAAAUCUUAAAGGGUUUCCCUUUACGAAUUGUAGUUUAAAGAAGUGUUUUCUGUUGAGGUUUUGGUAAAAGUUCUUUGGAAUAGGACAUCAUAGAGGGUGAGAAUCCCGUAUUUGACCUUUACUUUCAACUUUGUGAUACACUUUCAAAGAGUCGGAUUGUUUGGGAAUGCAGUCCAAAAUGGGUGGUAAAUUUCAUCUAAAGCUAAAUAUUGGCGAGAGACCGAUAGCGAACAAGUACCGUGAGGGAAAGAUGAAAAGAACUUUGAAAAGAGAGUUAAACAGUACGUGAAAUUGUCAAAAGGGAAGCGUUUGACACCAGUGUUGUUUUUCUGAGAAUCAAUUAAAGAACUGUUUAUGCUAAGCUUGUUUAGACUUUAUCAGCUAUACUGUUUAGUUUUGAGCUUUUCUUUAAUGCACUUUUCAGUUAACAAGUCAACAUCAAUUUCUUUUGCUGUAAAAAAGCUUGAGGAAGGUGGCUUGAGAUUCGUCUUAAGUGUUUAUAGCCUCUUGCCUAUGCAGUCGGAGAGAUUGAGGUCUGCAGCGUAGAUCCUUCGGGGCUAAAUGCAUUUGUGCUAAGUUAUAGCAUUUUAUAGACAACUUGUUGACUAUGAUUUGUCUUGUAGCUUACUCGCUUAUGUUAUUUUACCUACGCUUAGGAUGUUGACACACGCGCGUGCUCG